ensembl:snRNA U6 U6 spliceosomal RNA
AUGCUCACUUCAGCAACACAUUUAUUAAAAUUGCAGUGAUACAGAGAUUAGCACGGCUCCUGAGCAAGGAUGACACGCAAUAUAAAAUUCAAAUUGAAAAAAUGUUU